rnacentral:lncRNA from 1 species
GUGAUUACAAGCUUAUUCAAUGGCUAGAUCCAUCAUUAUAACAACCGAAACACUCCAGCAAUCCAAUACAUUUAACAAAAGACACACACUCACAAGCAUGAUUAUUGAUUCACACACGUGUAUUUAAUUAAUGGGAAAUUAUCAUUGCACCACCUUUAUUUUUCCUUAUGUUCAUCUAACCACUACAAAAUUUUAACAUGUACUUUGCACCACUUUU